rnacentral:rRNA from 1 species
AGCGGCGGACGGGUGAGUAACGCGUGGGCAACCUGCCCUGUACACACGGAUAACAUACCGAAAGGUAUGCUAAUACGAGAUAAUAUGCUUUUAUCGCAUGGUAGAAGUAUCAAAGCUUUUGCGGUACAGGAUGGACCCGCGUCUGAUUAGCUAGUUGGUAAGGUAACGGCUUACCAAGGCGACGAUCAGUAGCCGACCUGAGAGGGUGAUCGGCCACAUUGGAACUGAGACACGGUCCAAACUCCUACGGGAGGCAGCAGUGGGGAAUAUUGCACAAUGGGCGAAAGCCUGAUGCAGCAACGCCGCGUGAGCGAUGAAGGCCUACGGGUCGUAAAGCUCUGUCCUCAAGGAAGAUAAUGACGGUACUUGAGGAGGAAGCCCCGGCUAACUACGUGCCAGCAGCCGCGGUAAUACGUAGGGGGCUAGCGUUAUCCGGAAUUACUGGGGGUAAAGGGUGCGUAGGUGGUUUCUUAAGUCAGAGGUGAAAGGCUACGGCUCAACCGUAGUAAGCCUUUGAAACUGGGAAACUUGAGUGCAGGAGAGGAGAGUGGAAUUCCUAGUGUAGCGGUGAAAUGCGUGGAUAUUAGGAGGAACAUCAGUUGCGAAAGGCGGCUCUCUGGACUGUAACUGACACUGAGGCACGAAAGCGUGGGGGAGCAAACAGGAUUAGAUACCCUGGUAGUCCACGCCGUAAACGAUGAGUACUAGCUGU